GUUGCUCUAUCAGUGGAGUUAAAAGUGAGUGUAAAAAUCUGCAGAAACGCGGUGACAAUUUACAGUUUUUCUCAAAUGCUAAAACACAAAAGCUAAUCCUCUAAACCAAAUGACCAGUUGUCUAAACACAUUUACUAAAUUUAGCCAUCAUUUUCCAAUAUCAUAAACACAUUUCACAUGGACACAAUUCACAAAACACAAUCCUCCGUUCUCAUAAAUCUUAACACAUUUUUCUUUGCUAAAACACAAGUUGCAAAAGAACUCUGCUCACAUUCUCAAAUGAAAGCUCAUGUGAUGCAAAAUGCUUGCCACAGUCAGCAAUAUUUGAACACAAUGAACACACCUGGCGUCAUUCAUUACACACAACGACUCAAAAUUGAAGACACUUGUUGCUAAUGCUGUGACCACUUGUACAAAAGCAAGUUCAGAGUGCACAGUUUGCUCUAGAUUCCAAACAAACACAAUGGAUGAAGGCAGAGUCAGGGAAAGAGGAAUUCGAGUCAGAGGAGGGAGAAAAGCUGGCCAUGGAAGAAGAGGAGCAGGCCAACGAGGAAGAGGAGUUCAAAUCAGUGGAGGAAGAGGAGCAGGCCAACGAGGAAGAGGAGUUCAAAUCAGAGGAGGAAGAGAAGCAGGCCAACAAGGGAGAGGAGAAGGUCCAGGAGGGAGAGCAAGACAACCUCGCACCAUCAUUACGGACAAGAUGCGAGCAACAGUCAUUGACCAUGUCAUUGUCCAUGGCAUGACAAUGGCUGAAGCAGGACUACGAGUCCGUCCAAACCUGAGUAGGUUCACCGUGGCCACCAGUAUCAGGGCAUUCAGACAACACAACAGUCGAAAGAAUGCCGCAUAGAGGUGGGAGGGUUGCCAUAUUGACAGCGGCACAAGAUACCCUCAUUGUGGAUAUGGUUCGUGAGAACAACCUCAUCAGACUCCGGGAGAUCAGAGACAAAGUCAUUGCCGAUAAUGUCAACUUUGAGAGCAUUGAUGAUGUCAGCUUGGCCACAAUAGACUGAGUUCUCCAGCCCCAAAAGAUGCGGAUGAAACAGGUCUAUACGGUUUCCUUCGAGCGCAACUCUGCGCGACACAAAGACCUACGUUACGAGUAUGUGCAAAGGAUAUUACAGUUGGACACGAUGGUCAGACCUCAUGAAUACCUCUUCCUGGAUGAGGCUGGCUUCAACCUGCAGAAACGAAGGCAAAGAGGUUGUAACAUCAUUGGCUAAAGAGCCAUCACUGAGGUUCCUGGCCAACGGGGGGUAAUAUUACUCUUUGUGCGGCCAUGGGUUUGGAGGGGAUUGUCCACCGGCAUGCUGUCCUUGGGUCUUACAACACCCAACGUCUCCUCACCUUUCUAGAGGAGCUAAAAGAUAUCCUCCUGGACCGCCAACAACACCAUCCUGGGCCUGCACAUCAAAUUUAUGUGAUCAUUUGGGACAAUGAAUGCUUCCACAAAACAAACCAAAUCAGAGAGUGGUUCACCACCAACAGUAACCACUUUUUAAAUGUCUGUCUGCCACCCUACUCCCCUUUCCUGAACCCUAUAGAGGAGUUCUUCUCAUCAUGGAGAUGGAAGAUUUAUGACAGACAACCAUACACUAGAGAGGACCUCCUAAGGGCAAUGGAGCUGGCCUGUGUUGACUUCCCAGUGGAGGCCUUCCAAGGAUGGAUUCGCCAUUCCAGGGCGUUUUUCCUGCGGUGCCUGGCAAGAGACAAUAUAGCCUGCGAUGUGGAUGAGGUGAUGUGGCCCGAUGCAGCUCAGCGACAUGAUGCCGCACAGUGAUUGUGGUGUGUGUG